ACCGUCUUGACCAUGGGAGGAUGAAGGAGGAAGAUAGGUGUUUUGUGGUUGAGCAAUUGGCUGCGAGAGAACUGCCUCCUGAACUGGUGCAGGUGGAAUGUAGGUGUUCUGUGGCUGUGCUGGAGGGGGGAUGUAGGUGUUCUGUGGCUGUGCUGGAGGGGGGAUGUAGGUGUUUUGUGGUGCGAUGGGUUCG